CCUACGGGAGGCAGCAGUGAGGAAUAUUGGUCAAUGGACGAGAGCCUGAACCAGCCAAGUAGCGUGAAGGAUGACGGCCCUAUGGUUUGUAAACUUCUUUUAUAUAGGAAUAAAAUGAGGAACGUGUGCCUUUUUGCAUGUACCUUAUGAAUAAGCAUCGGCUAACUCCGUGCCAGCAGCCGCGGUAAUACGGAGGAUCCGAGCGUUAUCCGGAUUUAUUGGGUUUAAAGGGUGCGUAGGUGGGUUAGUAAGUAAGUUGUGAAAGUUUGUGGCUCAACCAUAAAAUUGCCGUUGAUACUGGCAGACUUGAGUACAUUUGAGGUAGGCGGAAUGCGUGGUGUAGCGGUGAAAUGCGUAGAUAUCACGAAGAACCCCGAUUGCGAAGGCAGCUUACUAAACUGUGACUGACAUUGAGGCACGAAAGUGUGGGUAUCAAACAGGAUUAGAUACCCUUGUAGUC
rnacentral:rRNA from 1 species